GGGCCUAUAGCUCAGUGGUAGAGCGUCCCGCUGAUAACGGGAAGGUCAGAGGUUCGAUCCCUCUUAGGCCCA
rnacentral:tRNA from 1 species